rnacentral:rRNA from 1 species
AUACGUAGGGGGCGAGCGUUGUCCGGAAUGAUUGGGCGUAAAGGGCGCGUAGGCGGCCUGUUAAGUCUGGAGUGAAAGUCCUGUUUUCGAGAUGGGAAUUGCUUUGGAUACUGUCGGGCUUGAGUGCAGGAGAGGUAAGUGGAAUUCCCAGUGUAGCGGUGAAAUGCGUAGAGAUUGGGAGGAACACCAGUGGCGAAGGCGACUUACUGGACUGUAACUGACGCUGAGGCGCGAAAGUGUGGGGAGCAAACAGGAUUAGAUACCCUGGUAGUCCACAUUGUAAACGAUGAAUGCUAGGUGUAGGGGGUAUCGACCCCUUCUGUGCCGCAGUCAACACAAUAAGCAUUCCGCCUGGGGAGUACGGCCGCAAGGUUGAAACUCAAAUGAAUUGACGGGG